CCUACGGGAGGCAGCAGUGAGGAAUAUUGGUCAAUGGGCGCAAGCCUGAACCAGCCAAGUAGCGUGAGGGAUGAAGGCUCUAUGGGUUGUAAACUUCUUUUAUAAAGGAAUAAAGUGCGGGACGUGUCCCGUUUUGUAUGUACUUUAUGAAUAAGGAUCGGCUAACUCCGUGCCAGCAGCCGCGGUAAUACGGAGGAUCCGAGCGUUAUCCGGAUUUAUUGGGUUUAAAGGGUGCGUAGGCGGCUUGUUAAGUCAGCGGUGAAAGUUUGUGGCUCAACCAUAGAAUUGCCGUUGAUACUGGUAGGCGUGAGGAUGGUUGAGGUAGGCGGAAUGCGUGGUGUAGCGGUGAAAUGCUUAGAUAUCACGCAGAACCCCGAUUGCGAAGGCAGCUUACCAAUCCAUCACUGACGUUGAUGCACGAAAGCGUGGGGAUCAAACAGGAUUAGAUACCCGAGUAGUC
rnacentral:rRNA from 1 species